AACGAACGCUGGCGGCAGGCUUAACACAUGCAAGUCGAGCGGUAAGGCCCUUUCGGGGGUACGACGAGCGGCGAACGGGUGAGUAACACGUGGGUGACCUGCCCUCAGCUCUGGGAUAAGCCUGGGAAACCGGGUCUAAUACUGGAUAUGACUCCAUGACGCAUGUUGUGGGGUGGAAAGCCUUGUGCGGCUGAGGAUGGGCCCGCGGCCUAUCAGCUUGUUGGUGGGGUAAUGGCCUACCAA
rnacentral:rRNA from 1 species